UAUGUUUUAAAUUUUGAAUAAGAUGUUUAAUGCUGAUAUCAUAUUUUAUUAAUUUCACUUGAGAAAAUUAUGAGAAUUACCAAAUGAUUUUACGUGAGAUACGAAAAUGAUUGUGUGAUUUAUGUAGGAAGGGAGCUGACGUGAAUCGACCAACUUCAUGUGGGUGAGAUCCACACUCUACAUAAGGUGCAACACUAUGCUUGGACCAUUACCCAAAAUCAGAAAACCCAAAGGCCUUCCAUAUAAACAGAAGAUCAGUCCUUUCUCUCUUGUUUAACUUCUGCAAGAAACAACAGUGGGCGGCAUCAGUUCUGGUGGUCAGCCAACUGCUGCUCCCAAUGGUGGAGUUCCAGUACUUUCCAACUAUCAGAAAUCUGCCAUGCCUGGUAUUCCAGAUUCCGAACUCAACCUGCCACUUCCAACUAUGAAUGAUUUAUGGUCUGUUGUUUAUAGGAAGGGAGCUUUGAUUUUUACAGAGGCACCAAUGUUGAGAUAAAAUUGAUCAUCUGGAAUCUAUAGGUUCAAAUGAUCUCCUACAAUCAGUUGUAGUUUAGCUUAACGCCGCUGAGAAAGGACGCCUGCCUGUGUUGAUCUUGAGCAUGAAGGAAAGCAUGCAGCAAAACAGGCCGACUAUCAUAUUUUUGCAUGGGUCUUACAAAACCAAUGAAUGGUUGCAGCCAUUACUCUAAGGUAAAAGUCAAAUGCUACUGAAUUCUCCCAUCUCUUUGUCAUUAUACAGAAUUCAACUUUGAACAUCUAUUUCAACUUUUUAAAACAGUGGGUCACACUAUAGAUGAGUCAUAGCUCAUAACCAAAAAGAUAAAAGAUAAAGACAAAAAAAGAAAGAAAAGAUAACUAAAGGAUGACUAUGACCACCAGUAAGUUAUGUUGAGGAUGCAGGGGAUCCUUAUAGAGAUCAAAUGGAAGAUUGUAUCAGUUUAAUAAUGGAAGAAUUGAAAUCUGGAGGAAUUGCCAACAGUCACUCUUGCAUACCAGGUAAUUCAUUUAAAAUUUUAGCUUUUGGUUUCUAGGUUUGAUUUCCAACUGCCUUUUGCUUCUCAGUUCUUCAGUUUGUUUGCCACUUAUGAGACAUCUAAAUCACCAUCAUCUAAGCCUUAUCCCGACUAAUUGGUGUUGGCUUCUGAGACAUCUAAAUAAAUAGUGAAAAUUACAUAUGUGCUACACCAACCAAGGCUUUAGAACUCGCCAAAACCAAGUGGACUUGGUUUCGCUAAGGAACAGAUUGACAGGUCCCUUUGAAAUAUGUAUGUUUCAGGAUGAGUUGUUGUGUGACAGGUGGCAGUUUUAACUAACAGAGCCGCAAACUCACAUAUUCCUAACUACCCAAGUCUCGGUGAGUUUGGUAUCCCUGAUUCAGUGGUUUGUACAAGAUUUCAUAUAGGUAUUUAGCAAAUUUGAGUUGACUCGGCAUGUUUUCUAGAAUUGUCUUCCAUUUUGGAUUCAACUGUUCUCAGUUGGAUCUCUUUUUCAUGUUUGAAAUUGGCUUUCAUUUUCAUCAGUCUCUCACAGAGUCUCCAUCGUCCUCUUAUGUGCUUAAUGUUGCGAUGUUGCAUCAUCUAGUUAGCAUUAUAUGCCUUUACUUUUCCUUUUUGUUUAUAAACCAUCUUUUGAGAUGGUUGGCUAAGUGUUUAUUUUAUUUUAUUUUAUUUUUUUAUUUUUUUGCAUUGAAUGGUUGGUGUAGACAAUCACUUUUUUAUUUAUUAAUUUUAGUCAUGGUCUCCUCUACAUGCAGCUUCCUACAAUUGCUAUUGAAAAGGUCUUUGUUGCAAACAACACAUCGUGGUCCAAGAUGAAGUCCUAGCUCAUAGGUUGAGCCUUAUUCCCAUCAAAGUUGACCCAAGGCUGUUCGAAUAUGUUUCAGGUACUUCUUCAAGGUCUUUCUUCAAGAGAUUUAAUGUGGAAGGAAGAAACUGUAAUGAAGGUAAAAAAUCCAUGGCCUAAUUUGAUGCUCAUAGCGGGGUGUUGCUGAACCAUUUUGGUUUAACAGAGGCAAGAUUCGAAUGGCUAGGAGCACCAUACAAACCAAUGGAGUUGCUAAAGUCUGAUUGGGCAACAAUUAGAAAGUCUCCACCAUGGGCGAUUGAUUCUUGGUAUGAUGGGAUCGAUGCAUGUACCAUGUUCCGUCAACCAUUUGUGUGUUGACCAUAGUGGAGGUGAGACAGCGACAACCAAACUCUUUGCAAUUCCAUGUUUCACGUUCAACU